GCUUAUCACCAUUCCAGAUUGAAUAUACCCGAUCUCGUCUGAUCUCGGAAGUCAAGCAAUCUCGGGCUUGGUUUACAGUACUUGGAUGGGUGACCGCUUGGGAAUACCAAGUGUGAUAAGCA
rnacentral:rRNA from 1 species